rnacentral:rRNA from 1 species
CGCGGCCUAUCAGCUUGUUGGUGAGGUAACGGCUCACCAAGGCGAUUACGGGUAGCUGGUCUGAGAGGACGAUCAGCCACACUGGAACUGAGAUACGGUCCAGACUCCUACGGGAGGCAGCAGGAGGGAAUCUUGCGCAAUGGGCGAAAGCCUGACGCAGCGACGCCGCGUGGGGGAUGAAUGCCUUAGGGUUGUAAACCCCUUUCACGAGGGAAGAAACUGACGGUACCUCGAGAAGAAGCCCCGGCCAACUACGUGCCAGCAGCCGCGGUAAUACGUAGGGGGCGAGCGUUGUCCGGAUUUAUUGGGCGUAAAGGGCUCGUAGGCGGCUUGGCAAGUCGGCCGUGAAAACCCAGAGCUCAACUCUGGGACGCCGGUCGAUACUGCCAUGGCUAGGGUCCGGUAGAGGGGAAUGGAAUUCCCGGUGUAGCGGUGAAAUGCGCAGAUAUCGGGAGGAACACCAGUAGCGAAGGCGGUUCCCUGGGCCGGCACCGACGCUGAGGAGCGAAAGCGUGGGGAGCAAACAGGAUUAGAUACCCUGGUAGUCCACGCCGUAAACGCUGGGUACUAGGCGUGGCGUCUUAUCAACGGAUGCCGUGCUCGAAGCUAACGCGUUAAGUACCCCGCCUGGGGAGUACGG